rnacentral:rRNA from 1 species
GAUGAACGCUGGCGGCGUGCCUAAUACAUGCAAGUCGAGCGAACGGACGAGAAGCUUGCUUCUCUGAUGUUAGCGGCGGACGGGUGAGUAACACGUGGAUAACCUACCUAUAAGACUGGGAUAACUUCGGGAAACCGGAGCUAAUACCGGAUGAUAUUUUGAACCGCAUGGUUCAAAAGUGAAAGACGGUCUUGCUGUCACUUAUAGAUGGAUCCGCGCUGCAUUAGCUAGUUGGUAAGGUAACGGCUUACCAAGGCAACGAUGCAUAGCCGACCUGAGAGGGUGAUCGGCCACACUGGAACUGAGACACGGUCCAGACUCCUACGGGAGGCAGCAGUAGGGAAUCUUCCGCAAUGGGCGAAAGCCUGACGGAGCAACGCCGCGUGAGUGAUGAAGGUCUACGGAUCGUAAAACUCUGUUAUUAGGGAAGAACAUAUGUGUAAGUAACUGUGCACAUCUUGACGGUACCUAAUCAGAAAGCCACGGCUAACUACGUG